AUAAAGCAGCUCGCAGCUAAAGUAUCGUUCCGUUCAAUGGCCUGACACUGAAGCUCUGGAAAACGCUAACGUUACAUUUGAUUCGACCAAGUCACGAACAACGUUCACAAACACGAAAAGACAUUUCAACAUGCUCAAAGAGUCAUUAAAAAAAAGAAUGUCCUCCUGGGUGAAGGUCAGUGGAUCAGGUGGAUGUUUGGCACAACCCGACCAAUGAAGCAGGAGAUUUUGAGCAGGACACUGUUGUUCACGUCGUAAGCAAGGAGAAAACUCUGAAGUUGUUUCAGCAGGACACUUUCAAGAUGAUGGUUGACACAAAAUCCUGAAGACAUCAAAAGUAAGUUCAGAAAAUGCUGUUUUGCAAGGAAGAUGCUACACAUGAAUAUAUAAAUGAUGCAGAUCAACACAAAUCCUUUUUUAAUUCUCUGGAGUCAAUGUGGCAGACGAGUCAAAGCUGAUGCAUUUACCCAGCUGUUUAGACUAAUGAAGUGCAGCGGUGAACAGCGUGUCACUCGCAUGUCCGUUUGAUGUCAGCACGUCCUUCCUUUGUACAGAGGGAACAACAUGGUGGGGGUGCUUGAUCACAUCCAAACCCUGUUUAAUCUAAAUUAAAACUCACUAAUCUUGUUAUUAUGCUGACCCCUUUGCGAGACACACUUCCACAAGGCCCCUUCAUCCCCGUCACCCAAACGUUUUCAUCCAGCUGAGACAAAAGGAUAUAGUAGGGAAUUAAAUGACAGUGUGGCAGUCUGAAAUGGGAACAUUGAUUUCAACAGGCUUGUUUUGAUCACGAAGGCUUUUGAGUGAUUAGAGUUUCGCUUUAUGUCCCUUUUGAUUGUUCGUACCAAGUUGCAUGAUAAAACAUCUUGGGUCCUCUGCUCAAAACCGAAGGUUAGUUUCACUCUCACUGCCAAUUUAAAAUCAGGCAGUUUUCGUUUUUUGGUCACAUUGCUCAAGGUUAAGAUUUGGGGAUGGAAUAGGCUGUGCAUACAUCAAUGGAGCCGUGCCGAUGAACGUGUGACCUCCUCCUAAUCCUGCGAUGUGUCCUGCAUAAGGCUAGGACAGGCCAGACCCCGUACUGAAGAUGGUGAAAGUUCCAUUUCCAUAUGCAUGAGAUGAGUCGUUGUUAUUUUAAUGAAGGGCAUCCUGCCUCGAGCAAAUAAAAAAGACUGAACUGAUGCUAGACAUGGCUCUGUGAUCAGCUUUAAUGGUCUAUCUUUGUAAAGAGAUGUGGCAGAAAGGAACACAUUAGGGUGAUGCCUGUGUGUGUCUCAGGAAUUCUCAUUUGAAUCAUUGCUGUGAUGAUCCUAGACAAACGAAAAGUGAAAAACAAAAUCGAAAACUCCCACAUUCAUAAUGUUUCUGCAAAUGUCCUUUUUC